CCUACGGGAGGCAGCAGUGAGGAAUAUUGGGCAAUGGAGGAGACUCUGACCCAGCCAUGCCGCGUGUAGGAAGAAUGCCCUAUGGGUUGUAAACUACUUUUAUACAGGAAGAAACACUGGUAUGUAUACCAGCUUGACGGUACUGUAAGAAUAAGGACCGGCUAACUCCGUGCCAGCAGCCGCGGUAAUACGGAGGGUCCAAGCGUUAUCCGGAAUCAUUGGGUUUAAAGGGUCCGCAGGCGGUCAAUUAAGUCAGAGGUGAAAUCCCGUCGCUCAACGACGGAACUGCCUUUGAUACUGGUUGACUUGAGUCAUAUGGAAGUAGAUAGAAUGUGUAGUGUAGCGGUGAAAUGCAUAGAGAUUACACAGAAUACCGAUUGCGAAGGCAGUCUACUACGUAUGUACUGACGCUGAGGGACGAAAGCGUGGGGAGCGAACAGGAUUAGAUACCCUGGUAGUCCACGCCGUAAACGAUGGAUACUAGUUGUUGGGCAAUAGCUCAGUGACUAAGCGAAAGUGAUAAGAU
rnacentral:rRNA from 1 species